AACGAACGCUGGCGGCAUGCCUAACACAUGCAAGUCGAACGAGACCUUCGGGUCUAGUGGCGCACGGGUGCGUAACGCGUGGGAACCUGCCCUUAGGUUCGGAAUAACUCCCCGAAAGGGGUGCUAAUACCGGAUAAUGUCUUCGGACCAAAGAUUUAUCGCCUUUGGAUGGGCCCGCGUUGGAUUAGCUAGUUGGUAGGGUAAAAGCCUACCAAGGCGACGAUCCAUAGCUGGUCUGAGAGGAUGAUCAGCCACACUGGGAAUGAGACACGGCCCAGACUCCUACGGGAGGCAGCAGUGGGGAAUAUUGGACAAUGGGCGAAAGCCUGAUCCAGCAAUGCCGCGUAAGUGAUGAAGGCCUUAGGGUUGUAAAGCUCUUUUACCCGGGAUGAUAAUGACAGUACCGGGAGAAUAAGCUCCGGCUAACUCCGUG
rnacentral:rRNA from 1 species